AUUGAACGCUGGCGGCAUGCCUAACACAUGCAAGUCGAACGAGACCUUCGGGUCUAGUGGCGCACGGGUGCGUAACGCGUGGGAACCUGCCCUUAGGUUCGGAAUAACAGUUAGAAAUGACUGCUAAUACCGGAUAAUGUCUUCGGACCAAAGAUUUAUCGCCUGUGGAUGGGCCCGCGUAGGAUUAGGUAGUUGGUGGGGUAAAGGCCUACCAAGCCGACGAUCCUUAGCUGGUCUGAGAGGAUGAUCAGCCACACUGGGAAUGAGACACGGCCCAGACUCCGACGGGAGGCAGCAGUGGGGAAUAUUGGACAAUGGGCGAAAGCCUGAUCCAGCAAUGCCGCGUGAGUGAUGAAGGCCUUAGGGUUGUAAAGCUCUUUUACCCGGGAUGAUAAUUACAGUACCGGGAGAAUAAGCUCCGGCUAACUCCGUGCCAGCCGCCGCGGUAAGAC
rnacentral:rRNA from 1 species